UCAGGAGGGGUAACCCUUCUGAGGGGAGAGCGGCGAACGGGUGAGUAACACGUGGGCAACGUGCCCCGGACACCGGGAUAACCCAGGGAAACCUGAGCUAAUACCGGAUACUCCGGCGCGAUCGCAUGGUCGUGCCGGGAAAGCUCCGACGGUCCCGGAUGGGCCCGCGGCCUAUCAGCUUGUUGGUGGGGUAACGGUCCUCCAAGGCGACGACGGGUAGCUGGUCUGAGAGGACGUCCAGCCACACUGGGUACUGAGACACGGCCCAGACUCCUACGGGAGGCAGCAGUGGGGGAUCUUGCGCUAAUGCGCGAAAGCGUGACGCAGCGACGCCGCGUGGGGGAUGAAGGCCUUCGGG
rnacentral:rRNA from 1 species